GCCAGCAUGGCAUAGUGGUUUGAGCAUUGGCCUAUGAUCCCUAAGACCAGGGUUCAAUUUCCUGCUCAGGCA